CAUGACCUUAGAAGGGGUUCCUUCAUUCUCCAACUCUGAACUCAUUUUUCAGUGGUGUGCUCUCGUUCACGGAGUUGAGAGUUUCCCUUUCAUCCGAUUGAAAUUCUGAUUUGGACGGGUAAGUCAAUUCCUCCACUUUUCUUGAACCUAGGGCAUGCAACUCUACUGGUUGUAUGCAACUGGUGGUGCUCCAUUUCGAUUUUCUGUCCAUUCUAGUUUUAAGAGCUGUUUUCAUCACCAUUUAGGUAGUUGUAGGGCACUCUUGGAUUCUCACUGUGAGGGGCACGGUUAGGACACUCUAGUUGAAUAUACUAUUUGACUUUCAGGUAAGGGGAGCUAACUAUGUUUCAGUAUAUUAUUUGUAUGACGUGUAUGAUGGAUAAAUUUUUGAAGUAAGUAUGUCCUUAUGCUUGAGUUGGAUUCCUGUAACUUAAAUUGAAUGUGUUUGGAUACUGAGUUGGAUGAACUAUAAUGUGAUGUGUUGUAUGUUCUGUUGGGUGUAUUGAUUGACUGAAAUAAUUCACUCUUUGAAGUAGUUACACGUGUGGAGACUGUUAGACCAAAUUUUAGUGAGAAAAUAUAUACUUGGGUUGUGUUUAGUGGAAGUAUUAACCUUAGGGGUAAAAGGGAGAAAAUGUAUUUUAUGAUAGAAGUGGUUAGUGUUUUAUGUGGAUAAAGAGAUGCAGUAGAGAGUAGGAAGUUCUGUGAAAAUGGAUUAAGAAAGAGAGAGUAGGGAGGGUCUCGGGUUAGAGAAUAUAGAAAGAAAAAUGGGUUUCCUUUCUCCUACGUAGAGGUUACGUACAUUUAGGUGGGAAGAUUGGGUGGUACAAUUGUAGGGUGAAGUUGAACUAGAGGAAGAAAAAUGGGUUACUGUGUUGCAGUAGAAGAAAAGGAGGAUGAAGUCUUGAGGGGUUUAAGGGGUAGAAUGGUGUUAUUAGUAGAGAAAGGGAAAGGUGUGGGGUAGGAGUUACUAGUUAAGCAUUGGUGGUGAAGGGAAGAGCUUCAGAUGAGCCUAAGAGGAAAAAGAAAAAGAAAAAAAAAAGGAGGUAGUGAAAGGUCUAUAUUACGUGACCUUUCAUGAGGAGAAAGUGAUAGAUUGUGGUUACUGUAAAGAGAAAUAAAGAAAGCUUGAGUAGUUGGGUCUGUGAGCAAUGAGGAUGAAAGGAACGGGAGGUUGGGUAUGCAUGGGUUGCUUAUCCAGGGGAUGGAAUUUUGCAUAGAAUUUACGUGGGAAGGAAGAUAUAAGGUUUUAUAAAAUGAAAGGAGAAGAGGGAGUUAGAAGAAAAAAAAAAGAGCUACGGUAGGUAUGGG
rnacentral:sRNA from 1 species